UCAACACACCCAGUUCAGAGGUUUGCUAGUGGGAUAAUGGUGUUGUCAUAUGGCCUACCCAUACCCCAUCAUUCUCAGAGAUUGAAUAACUACAUGAGUAGCUAAUCCUGGAACAGGGAGCCUGGUGGAAACAAAGGAGUUGGAGCAGACAAAUGAGGCAGCCCAUGGCGUAUGACAGUCCCAGAGAAAAAUGAUCAAAUUUCCCAGCUCUCCCUCUGGUACAGCCUGUCCAGUCCAGACUCCUCCUCCUCCGAGCCUCACCGCUUGCUAGCCAUACUCCAUGACCAUAAUGAAACAAGAGGAAACACGUCAGAAAAGAGAGGAGGGAGUGUUGUUUUUUAUUCUCUUCACUGGUUUUCAUGAGAGCCAGAUGGAACAAUUAAUCCCCAAUCAACACAGGAAUAUUAAGUAGCCUUAACUCCUGCAUGAGGGACUUUACCAUCCUUGUUGUGUCCCCAUGGCUAAUGUCUAUCCAGCUAAACACACUGCUUCAGUUAGCUGUGUGGAUCUGUUGUCCUAUCUGACAGAUGGGAAGGGUUUCUAUAAGCCUGGCUGCAGCUUCUUAGAAAUUCUUCAGCUAUUCCAACACUGAAGAUCUGCCUCCAGCACAGAUCUUGAGCUUUACUCUCUGCAAAGUGCAUUAUCAACUCGCAUGCCUAAAGAUGCUGAAGGUUUGAGGACAAGCAAGAAAGAACAAACACGCAGCAGCUUAGCUCGCAUCCUCAGGCAUCUCCUCCGUCAGUGCUUUUGUCUCAUCGACUGCUGCCUCCCAUCAAUAUAUCCAAAGGCAGAGGGUAGAAUGUGGUGACAGUGGUACUAAAAUGGGACCAGUUUAUCUGUUAAGAUGUCAGCUUCAGCCACAUCUGAUGCUGCUUCUGCUGAGGGACCACUUCUAUGGGAGGUACAGACACUGCCGACAGCUUGCAAGGGAUUACUGAUAGACGUGAUUGAUGGAUUUCUUCUGCAAGGAGAAACGGCAGCCUCAGGCAGUCAAUGCUGAUAGUCCAUUAGCUUUUUUAUGCCUUCGAAUUAACUGCAUACAUUGCUUUAUGGCUUGCAUGUAGCACUUUGAAUCUUAAUUAAAUGUUUUUGUUUUCAGUUUUAUAGAGUUUAUGCUGCGCACAAGGAUAAAGUGUUUGUCUUCACUCAUAUCCUGGUUGAGCACUAAUUUAAAUGAAGAAAGGUCAUGCUUUCUAUUUCAGCUACACCGACAAGUAAACAAAGCUUUCAGUGGCAGAAGAAAGAGCAUCAGAGGCUCAUAUUUAACUGGUGUGUAUAACCUUGUGUGGCGUGCCUAACAUCUGUACAUGCAGCAAGCAUCCGUUACACAGAGUCUGUAUCUCCUGUGUGCAGUCACCUGCUGGUUUGAGUGGCAGCCUGUGGGGUGUUAAGUGUAUGCAGGCAGAUGGAGAAAGUGUAACAUGUAGGUCAUCCAACCUCUGGAGUGUUUUGCUUACAGACGUCAAUUACACGCCUGUUGUAUCUCAUCAUCUUUUGGGAAAAGGCAACACGACCCCUAAGCGUUAGGGUUCGGUCAGCUGUGUGGAGCUUUCAGAUAAAACAGUUGGAGGAGAAAGGAGUCUGUGAUGGUGCCAGAGGAGGGGGUGGUACAGUAGAUGGGGCAAAGGAAGCAUGGCCACUAGAGCUAUGCUGUGAAGAUAGAGCACUUAAAAUGUGGAUAGACGGUAAACUCCCAUUUCAA